rnacentral:rRNA from 1 species
UACGAAGGUGGCAAGCGUUGUUCGGAUUUACUGGGCGUACAGGGAGCGUAGGCGGUUGGGUAAGCCCUCCGUGAAAUCUCCGGGCCUAACCCGGAAGGAGGCGGAGGGGACUGCUCGGCUAGAGGAUGGGAGAGGAGCGCGGAAUUCCCGGUGUGAGCGGUGAAAUGCGUAGAGAUCGGGAGGAAGGCCGGUGGCGAAGGCGGCGCUCUGGAACAUUUCUGACGCUGAGGCUCGAAAGCGUGGGGAGCAAACAGG